rnacentral:rRNA from 1 species
CCCUGGUAGUCCAUGCCGUAAACGUUGGGCGCUAGAUGUAGGGACCUUUCCACGGUUUCUGUGUCGUAGCUAACGCAUUAAGCGCCCCGCCUGGGGAGUACGGCCGCAAGGCUAAAACUCAAAGGAAUUGACGGGGGCCCGCACAAGCGGCGGAGCAUGCGGAUUAAUUCGAUGCAACGCGAAGAACCUUACCAAGGCUUGACAUACACCGGAAACGGCCAGAGAUGGUCGCCCCCUUGUGGUCGGUGUACAGGUGGUGCAUGGUUGUCGUCAGCUCGUGUCGUGAGAUGUUGGGUUAAGUCCCGCAACGAGCGCAACCCUCGUUCUAUGUUGCCAGCGCGUUAUGGCGGGGACUCAUAGGAGACUGCCGGGGUCAACUCGGAGGAAGGUGGGGAUGACGUCAAAUCAUCAUGCCCCUUAUGUCUUGGGCUUCACGCAUGCUACAAUGGCCGGUACAAAGGGCUGCGAUACCGUAAGGUGGAGCGAAUCCCAAAAAGCCGGUCUCAGUUCGGAUUGAGGUCUGCAACUCGACCUCAUGAAGUCGGAGUCGCUAGUAAUCGCAGAUCAGCAACGCUGCGGUGAAUACGUUCCCGGGCCUUGUACACACCGCCCGUCAAGUCAUGAAAGUCGGUAACACCCGAAGCCGGUGGCCUAACCCUUGUGGAAGGAGCCGUCGAAGGUGGGAUCGGUGAUUAGGACUAAGU